rnacentral:rRNA from 1 species
GACGAACGCUGGCGGCAUGCCUAACACAUGCAAGUCGAACGAGACCUUCGUGUCUAUUUGCGCACGUGUGCUUAACGCCUGGUAACCUGCCCUUGGGUUCGGAAUACCUCCCCUAGGGGUGUGCUCAUACCGGUUAAUGUCUUCGCGCCAAAGAUUUAUCGCCUUUUGGUGGGCCCGCGUUGGAUUAGCUAGUUGGUAGUGUAAAAGCAUAUCAAGGAGAUGUUGCAUGGCUGGUCUGUUACGAGGGUCAUCCACAAUGGGACUGCGACACGGACCACACUGCUACGGGAGGGAGCAGUAGGGAGUACUGGAGGAUGGGCGAUAGUCUGAUAAAGCAAUGCCGCGUGAGUGAUGAAGGGCUUAGGGUUGCACAGCCCCUUUACACGGGAUGAUAAUGACAGUAACGGGAGAAUAAGCACCGGCUAACUACGUG